rnacentral:rRNA from 1 species
AUUGAACGCUGGCGGCAGGCCUAACACAUGCAAGUCGAGCGAGCGGCGGACGGGUGAGUAAUGUCUGGGAAACUGCCUGAUGGCUGGGGAUAACUACUGGAAACGGUAGCUAAUACCGCAUACCAUCAGAUGUGCCCAGAUGGGAUUAGCUAGGUGGUGGGGUAACGGCUCACCUAGGCGACGAUCCCUAGCUGGUCUGAGAGGAUGACCAGCCACACUGGGACUGAGACACGGCCCAGACUCCUACGGGAGGCAGCAGUGGGGAAUAUUGCACAAUGGGCGCAAGCCUGAUGCAGCCAUGCCGCGUGUGGGAAGAAGGCCUUCGGGUUGUAAAGCACUGUCAGCGGGGAGGCGGUACCCGCAGAAGAAGCAACGGCUAACUCCGUGCCAGCAGCCGCGGUAAUUC